GUGUUUGGUUUGUAGGCAGUGUAGUUAGCUGAUUGUGUCAGUCCCUUGGCAAUCACUAACUUCACUGCCAUCAAAACAAGGCAC
rnacentral:pre_miRNA from 1 species